GAUGGACGCUGGCGGCGUGCCUAACACAUGCAAGUCGAGCGAUUUACUUCGGUAAAGAGCGGCGGACGGGUGAGUAACGCGUGGGUAACCUGCCCUGUACACACGGAUAACAUACCGAAAGGUAUGCUAAUACGAGAUAAUAUACUUCUAUCGCAUGGUAGAAGUAUCAAAGCUUUUGCGGUACAGGAUGGACCCGCGUCUGAUUAGCUAGUUGGUAAGGUAACGGCUUACCAAGGCGACGAUCAGUAGCCGACCUGAGAGGGUGAUCGGCCACAUUGGAACUGAGACACGGUCCAAACUCCUACGGGAGGCAGCAGUGGGGAAUAUUGCACAAUGGGCGAAAGCCUGAUGCAGCAACGCCGCGUGAGCGAUGAAGGCCUUCGGGUCGUAAAGCUCUGUCCUCAAGGAAGAUAAUGACGGUACUUGAGGAGGAAGCCCCGGCUAACUACGUGCCAGCCGCCGCAGUAA
rnacentral:rRNA from 1 species